GCACGAUCCCGGCCGAUGGACUGGAGGAUCAGCCCGAUAGCCCAACGUCUGGCCAGCUGCCUGCUUCAGCCGGUACUGGGACAGGAAGAAUGAUGAGACUGCAGGCCCCUGUGUGGGGUGACUCCCAUAUUCGUGGAGCAGGCCGCAUUUUCACACAGGGCAGAGUUGACGAGUCUGAAAACUGGCUAAGAAGGUCCGGUGGAGGCAGUGAGGAGUCGCCGUGCUCACGAGGGAGACCUCAGUUUCCUGACGCGGGACUUGGCAGCUGGGCCUGCCGGGGGCAAGGCGGACACGGCCCGGGGACGGGCGGCAGAUUUUUAUUGUUUUUGAUGGAGGUGACCUUGAUCUACAACACUGCUCGGUUUUCGGGGCACAGCUCCCCGCCGCUCCGGCGCCGACACCACACCUCCCUCGAAGCCUGGAGGCCGCAGCUGGCAGGACGCGUCCGAGUGGGCGCCCUUCGUAAAUCCUUUUAAACUGUUGAGGUUAAACAAACAGAAACCCCAGAGACAGAGGGGUGCAGGCAGCGGCCCGCAGCCCCUUCACCUUGAACGGAACGAUGAAAACAGCCUGUACUGUGGAUUCUGGCAGCAAGAGCUCCCCUGCUUCACAAGGUGUUCAGCCUCUCGGGAUUCUAAAUUCCAGGGUGAAGGGGAGUUGGAAUCUAUCCCAGGCAACAGAGAGUACUGGCGUUGACUGGGAGCUCACGGGAAAUGCAGAUUCCAGGCCUCCCCGACUGAAGUCAAUCUACUGUCUACCAAGGCCCGGGAGGUGGAUACACAUUCCGGAAGGCUGCACAAAGCAUAGACCAAAAUCAGGCUGAAUCAGACAGAAACGGAUGGCGUCAACUUUGAAUUUUAAGUCCAAUGGUGAACUGGGGUAAAUACCAAGACUUUUCAACACCUUCUAGGCAAACGACUCUCAUUUGGAGGCAAACCAGGCUUGUGGCGACAUCGCAUGAAACGAGUGUUAGACGGUCUUAGACGUUAAAGCAUGCUUCAGAUUCACCACCAUCCCGAGGGACUGGUGAGAUUCAUUUUCAACGAGGGACGACUAGGGGAAACUGUUCACCUCGAGGACAGAGCCUUCACACAGACAGCAAAGUGGCGCUGGAAGGAAGGUGCAUAAAAAGGUUUGCUAUGGGCUGCUGAUGAAACAUUUAAGAUCUGCCUGCAAGCUCUGGGAGCACAGCUCUCACCCGUGAGCACUCCCAGACUGCGUCUUUCCCUCCUGGAUGCGGAGUCAUCGUCUAAGCUCGCGGCCCCGUUCUGCUCUCUGACACACAAAUGGAGGACUGACCCUUUCUUUAUUGGGGCUAGAAACUGUACGAUGGAGCCAGCACUAAGCACUCACUCUCUUGGCAGUGGGUGGCAGUAGGCACCGUGUUUUUUAUUCCACCGAAGGUAAUACUCAGAUGUUAAGAAAUGGCCUUCAGCUACCUUUCUGGUAGAGAUGGGGACAUGGAGAUGUGAAAAAAUUCUGAAGGCCAGUUCUGGACUUGAGCAGACUAGCAGCUCCUGUUUCAUUGAGUCACCCAAGGAGCAGGCUCUGUGCGGCUUUAAGGAGCACAGCCGGGCAUGGGGCAGGGCUGGGCAGUUGAGAGCUCUGGCCUCCCGACCCACCUGAAUCUCUGCGCCUGGUGGUGAACGGGGCCUCCGAACCGUCUAGCAGGCGAGUGGUACAGCUGGGAGAGCAGCGCCACGUUUUUGUUCUGGUUGGGAUUGGCUGCGAACUUCACUGUAAUGGGCUCGGAGGAACCUGGGGGUUUAUGACCAUUGAAACUGGUAAUUGCCUCUUCCGCUUCCGACCGUUUGUCAAACCGGAUAAACGCAACCCCUCUGGACAAACCUUUUUAACAAACCAACAAAAAUGGAGUUAGGGGGGGAGAUGCAAGGAUUUUUAAAACUGAAAAGCAAAAGUCAAGUCAGUCUGUGGUUCAGAUUGGAUGCUUGGUUAAUGAAAUAAAAAAAAAAACCUAAAUAUGAAAAACAAAUGAAGAAUUAAAAAAACAAACAAUGACUAAUAAAAGGUUAUGAUUUCAGACUUCGGGCUUAAGCAGAGAUUCCACUGUUUGGGUGCCCACAGGUAUCCUGGCGACACACAUCCCAGAUAGACACCCGGAUCUUUUUUCUAAAUGAAGCCAUGCUAGAAGAGAUUACACCCACCGUCCCCCUUCUGACGCCAGGGGCCCAGCCAAGUAUGGAUGCAGAGACUCUCUAAG